AGUAGGGUCAGCUAAACAAGCUAUCGGGCCCAUACCCCGAAAAUGCCAAACCGGCCCCUACUA
rnacentral:tRNA from 11 species